rnacentral:rRNA from 1 species
GACGAACGCUGGCGGCGUGCUUAACACAUGCAAGUCGAACGGAAAGGCCCUGCUUUUGUGGGGUGCUCGAGUGGCGAACGGGUGAGUAACACAUGAGUAACCUGCCCUUGACUUUGGGAUAACUUCAGGAAACUGGGGCUAAUACCGGAUAGGAGCUCCUGCUGCAUGGUGGGGGUUGGAAAGUUUCGGCGGUUGGGGAUGGACUCGCGGCUUAUCAGCUUGUUGGUGGGGUAGUGGCUUACCAAGGCUUUGACGGGUAGCCGGCCUGAGAGGGUGACCGGCCACAUUGGGACUGAGAUACGGCCCAGACUCCUACGGGAGGCAGCAGUGGGGAAUAUUGCACAAUGGGCGGAAGCCUGAUGCAGCAACGCCGCGUGCAGGAUGACGGCCUUCGGGUUGUAAACCGCUUUCGCCUGUGACGAAGCGUGAGUGACGGUAAUGGGUAAAGAAGCACCGGCUAACUACGUG